GAUGAACGCUGGCGGCGUGCCUAAUACAUGCGAGUCGAGCGAACGGACGGGAAGCUUGCUUCUCUGAUGUUAGCGGCGGACGGGUGAGUAACACGUGGAUAACCUACCUAUAAGACUGGGAUAACUUCGGGAAACCGGAGCUAAUACCGGAUAAUAUUUUGAACCGCAUGGUUCAAAAGUGAAAGACGGUCUUGCUGUCACUUAUAGAUGGAUCCGCGCUGCAUUAGCUAGUUGGUAAGGUAACGGCUUACCAAGGCAACGAUGCAUAGCCGACCUGAGAGGGUGAUCGGCCACACUGGAACUGAGACACGGUCCAGACUCCUACGGGAGGCAGCAGUAGGGAAUCUUCCGCAAUGGGCGAAAGCCUGACGGAGCAACGCCGCGUGAGUGAUGAAGGUCUUCGGAUCGUAAAACUCUGUUAUUAGGGAAGAACAUAUGUGUAAGUAACUGUGCACAUCUUGACGGUACCUAAUCAGAAAGCCACGGCUAACUACGUG
rnacentral:rRNA from 1 species